rnacentral:lncRNA from 1 species
UCACACACACAUUAAGAUAUCACCCCCUAUACAAUUUCAUGCCCCACAAUCUGAUUUCUAUGGUGAAAUCUUAUUUUCCAUGGUGGCAUCCUCUCUUUUGUCGCACAAAAGAAUGAUAUCUUAAUAAGACGUGGUUAGUAAGUUGGAUGAGAACAAACUUCUCUUGAUAAGGAGUCAUAUUUGAAAUCAAAUCUCAAAUCUUUCCUUAUCUAAACCCUUCCAUAUGAGGUGUUGAGAA